GAUGAACGCUGGCGGCGUGCCUAAUACAUGCAAGUCGAGCGAACGGACGAGAAGCUUGCUUUUCUGAUGUUAGCGGCGGACGGGUGAGUAACACGUGGAUAACCUACCUAUAAGACUGGGAUAACUUCGGGAAACCGGAGCUAAUACCGGAUAAUAUUUUGAACCGCAUGGUUCAAAAGUGAAAGACGGUCUUGCUGUCACUUAUAGAUGGAUCCGCGCUGCAUUAGCUAGUUGGUAAGGUAACGGCUUACCAAGGUAACGAUGCAUAGCCGACCUGAGAGGGUGAUCGGCCACACUGGAACUGAGACACGGUCCAGACUCCUACGGGAGGCAGCAGUAGGGAAUCUUCCGCAAUGGGCGAAAGCCUGACGGAGCAACGCCGCGUGAGUGAUGAAGGUCUUUGGAUCGUAAAACUCUGUUAUUAGGGAAGAACAUAUGUGUAAGUAACUGUGCACAUCUUGACGGUACCUAAUCAGAAAGCCACGGCUAACUACGUG
rnacentral:rRNA from 1 species